UACCACUACUCGCAUCGUUUCCUUACUUACUCGGUGGUGCGGAGCGCGUGCCGUCUGGUCAGUGGUCGCGGGGCGGCGAUCACGUGCGCGGCACUCGGCCACGUUCUCCGCGUUGUGCGGCGUUCUCCUCGUGGGUUCGUCGUCGACGUCGGCGGGGUGUGUGUCGGGGCGUCGCGUCGUUCGCCGUUUUUUCGCGGCCCGUCGCGGCCUACGGUCACGAUCGAUUCCCGGUCGACUUAAGCGCGAUCAUCGCCGCCGGUAGCGCGACGCGGUCCACGCGCCCGCGCGUCGCUGUCGUCGUUCUUCGCGGGACGGCGCUCGGCGUCGGGCGCGCCCACGUCCGCCUGGCGACGUCGCGUGAUCCGAUCCGAGGACACCGCCAGGUGGGGAGUUUGACCGGGG
rnacentral:rRNA from 1 species